rnacentral:rRNA from 1 species
AGUGAACGCUGGCGGUAGGCCUAACACAUGCAAGUCGAACGGCAGCACAGUAAGAGCUUGCUCUUACGGGUGGCGAGUGGCGGAGGGGUGAGGAAUACAUCGGAAUCUACUUUUUCGUGGGGGGUAACGUAGGGAAACUUACGCUAAUACCGCAUACGACCUACGGGUGAAAGCAGGGGAUCUUCGGACCUUGCGCGAUUGAAUGAGCCGAUGUCGGAUUAGCUAGUUGGCGGGGUAAAGGCCCACCAAGGCGACGAUCCGUAGCUGGUCUGAGAGGAUGAUCAGCCACACUGGAACUGAGACACGGUCCAGACUCCUACGGGAGGCAGCAGUGGGGAAUAUUGGACAAUGGGCGCAAGCCUGAUCCAGCCAUACCGCGUGGGUGAAGAAGGCCUUCGGGUUGUAAAGCCCUUUUGUUGGGAAAGAAAAGCAGCAGGUUAAUACCCCGCUGUUCUGACGGUACCCAAAGAAUAAGCACCGGCUAACUUCGUG